rnacentral:tRNA from 1 species
GGGGAUUUAGCUCAGUAGCAUAAGCACCUGCCUUGCAAGCAGGAGAUCCUGAGUUCGAUCCCCG